UACGUAGGCAGCGAGCGUUGUUCGGAAUUACUGGGUGUAAAGAGUGUGUAGGCGGUGCUCUAAGUUCGGUGUGAAAUCUCCCGGCUUAACUGGGAGGGUGCGCCGGAAACUGGAGUGCUCGAGCGUGGGAGAGGAAAGCGGAAUUCCUGGUGUAGCGGUGAAAUGCGUAGAUAUCAGGAGGAACACCUGCGGUGUAGACGGCUUCUGGACCAUUGCUGACGCUGAGACACGAAAGCGUGGGUAGCAAACAGG
rnacentral:rRNA from 1 species